AUUGAACGCUGGCGGCAGGCCUAACACAUGCAAGUCGAGCGAGCGGCGGACGGGUGAGUACUGUCUUUGGACUGCCCGAUAGAGGUGGAUAACUACUGUAAACGGUAGCUAAUACCGCAUACUAUCGGAUAACCCAUAUGGGAUUGGCUAGUAGGUGAGGUAAUGGCUCACCUAGGCGACGAUCCCUAGCUGGUCUGAGAGGAUGAUCAGCCAAACUGGGACUGAGAAACGGCCCAGACGCCUACGGAGGCAGCAGUGGGGAAUAUUGCACAAUGGGCGCAAGCCUGAUGCAGCCAUGCCGCGUGUAUGAAGAAGGCCCUAGGGUUGUAAAGUACUUUCAGUAGGGAGGCGUUACCGGCAGAAGAAGCACCGGCUAACUCCGUGCCAGCAGCCGCGGUAAUUC
rnacentral:rRNA from 1 species